AAGUUCUUGAGGGAAAAGCCCUGAGAUUUCUACAAGUGUCAGAACUGGUGUAAGAACAUUCUCAGUGAUAUGCUUUUGAUUCAUGUAAAAGAUCCUGAAUCCACCGACUUUCAUGAUAAGCAUCAGAACCUGGCUUUUUUCCAGCAAUGGUUGUCUAUGGGUUAAGAGUCUUUUACAAAGACAAGGCUUCCUGUCUUCAUUACAUCUCCCAUGAUGCAGCACAACCUUCCCGCCGGUGAACAAAGAUCCGGAAUUCAGAGUGCAUGGUGAAGAGAAGCCCCCAGAAGGAUAACAUCAUAGAAAGAAGUGAGGGCCUGACGCGCGACUUUGCCAUAACGCCCACUGAAGCCCUGAUUGUGCAGUUUUUUGUUGUGAAUCUGAUUAUGUGUAUAUGUAUUUGUGUUGGUUAUUAUUUGGUUCGAUCCCUUGAGGACGAACUUCUUAUGUUGGUGGAUUUUGUGUUUACCCGUUUAGUUUGACUACCCGUGACAAGAGCUCUUGAUUACUCGAGUGACGAGCGUGCAGCAUAAUUCAGCUGUGCCUUCAGCAAGGGGGGAUGUCACAACCCAAGGGUGUGAUUUUUGUUUGUGUGCGCUUUGGCACUGCUGAAUUAUUUCCCGCCACUUGUAGCUUUCUUUGCAGGGUGCAUUUCUUCGUUGCAGAAAGGAAAUGCACGUUGCAAGGAGUUCCCGCCAUUUGUAUUCAAAUUUGUGCCCCACUAUUGGCCAGUUCUAAAUUAUUCCUACGUGGUGGCUAGCGAUUGGCUUGCUAGCCGUAUAAGAGGCUUGAGUGGUUUCCGCCCAAGUUGGAGGACUCCAUGAACAUCAGGAGGAGGAGACUUCACGUCUCAUGAAGAUCUCUAAGCGCUGCGGAGCCUAUCGGACCCAGCGUGUAUUUCAAGAAGGCUAUAGGGGUCUGAUCAGCCUCUCGCCUCUCCCCGUCGCCGCCUAAUCCCUCGACGUACCCUUCCCUGCGCACAAGUUCCACGGAGCCUAGCAAACUUCGUGUGAGUGAAUCCAGAGCUCUGUCCGAGUCCUUAAACUGGGACUUAAGCGAAGUUUUCCUGGAAGUUUUCCAGCCUGCACCGCGACCAUCUACAGUGUAAGUAAACAAUCUUAAAUCAACCAUUAAGCGUCAGUGCCUAAUUCUAGCGUGCUGCCUGCCUUCCCCGACCUGGAGUG